rnacentral:rRNA from 1 species
UACGUAGGGGGCAAGCGUUGUCCGGAAUCAUUGGGCGUAAAGAGCGUGUAGGCGGCCCGAUAAGUCCGCUGUGAAAGUCCAGGGCUCAACCCUGGGAUGCCGGUGGAUACUGUCGGGCUCGAGUCCGGAAGAGGAGUGUGGAAUUCCUGGUGUAGCGGUGAAAUGCGCAGAUAUCAGGAGGAACACCAAUGGCGAAGGCAGCACUCUGGGACGUGACUGACGCUGAGGAGCGAAAGCUAGGGGAGCAAACGGG